AUACCUAAAUUUCCCACUGUUGCUAAAUGUAAGUUCUACAUCCCAAUUUCUCUCAAUCGCCAGUUUCACACACUUUUUCAUAUUCAACACUCGAGUUUCGUUUCGUGGUCAGUGGUGAAUUUGUGGUGAAAAAACUAUAAUUUUGUACCAGGAAAUAAGAAUGAUGCUUUGAACGCCGAUUAUUGGUAAAACAUGUAUUUUGAGGAUGUACUGAUUAAAAGGUCUUAUUACUAGAUUCAAUUUUAAUAUGUGCAUUCCACAUGCUCGAUGAAAUGUUUGUGAGAGAAUUUGAGGUGAUUUUGGUAGAUGUUUCAACAGUCUGUUAUGGAUGUAUGGUGCUUGCAAAUAUUUUAUUUGAUUACAGUUGUACAAGGACUAUUUUUUUCGAUUGAAGACGACACACGCGUCUGUCCCCUCCUCAAUCGUCAGUCCAGUGUUUACAGGUCCGGUGUACAAGGACUAAUGUAUUACAACUUUGUAUAUUCAUUAGUAAAAGGCGGCCUCGAUUGGAAGGAGAAGUUAGUGGACUGCGGACGGAACCUGCUAUUUUGUCUGUUGAGGGUAGAGGAUAUAACGUUCAGAUUUUCUAUGUUGAAGAGCCUGUUUCAGAUUAUCUUCGAGCUACUGUUUCAACAGUAAUGUCAAUUCAUGAUAAGGAGCCAAUGGGGGUUAUUCUUGUCUUUUUAACUCGCCAAGAUGAUAUUGAUACUGUCGUUCAAUUAAUCACGGAAGAAGCCCAAAACAGGGGCAAGUCUUCUCUAGGAUUGAUUGUUUUGCCUUUGUAUUCUGGACUCACUCGUGCAGAUCGG